GAUGAAGAACGUAGCGAAAUGCGAUAAGUAGUGUGAAUUGCAGAAUUCAGUGAAUCAUCAAAUCUUUGAACGCACAUUGCGCCUCUUGGUAUUCCGGGAGGCAUGCCUGUCCGAGCGUCAUUAAGACAAACUUCAAGCACCUUUUUGUUGCUUGGUCUUGAGGGAUGAGUCGUUAAUAGCCACUCACCCAUCGAAUUCCAGUGGCAGAGUCUAAGCAACGGUUGUCCCAGUGUGAUAUGAUAUUUUCUUUUUUUCACGUCACUGGCUUGUCCGUUGUUAACUCUUGCCAAUCGUAACCUCCUCUCAUCUAUUUAUAUCAAAGACCUCGGAUCAGGUAGGGAUACCCGCUGAACUUAAGCAUAUCAAUAAGCGGAGGAA
rnacentral:misc_RNA from 1 species